CCGAUCGCGUUCCUCACGCCCGUCUCUCUCUCGCUCUCUCACGCCGCCGCCGCCGGUCGUGUUCCUCCCUCCCCGGUCGAGCUCGGUGCCGGGCGUCACCCCGCGCCGCGCAGACCGACCAGGAGACGGAAGGGCCAGCCGCUUGUCAUCGAUUCUCCACCGUCGAGCUCCAGAUCCUGGCUCACGAUCAGAUUCAUGGGAUCCUCUGCUAGAUUGUUUGGGAGGCAGAGAUCCGUGCAUCAGAUCCNNN
rnacentral:lncRNA from 1 species